CCGAUCUCUUGUUAAGAAAUCAAAUUCAUUAGAAAUCAAAUCAAAUCCAAUAUGAAUUUCUUGCAUCUCUUCACUCUGGUUGCCCUUAUAUUGGCCAUUGCUACCGGUCAAAUUGAGGCCAAGGGCAAAAAAGGCGGAAAUAAGGGAGAUUAUAUUAGAGCUGGCAGCCAUAUGGCCGGCAAAGCUGUUGAAGGUCUUGGCGCUGCCGUUGUCGAUAAAAUUGGAUAAUUGGAACUUAUUGAAGUUACAUGAAUUUCUGUAGUUUAUAUGAUUUAUGAAAAAAGUAAAACGUUUCAAAAUAAUUAUAACUUUUAUAAUUCCUAAAUUCGAAUAAAUUUUAUUUCGUGAAAAUAACUAA